UACGUAGGGACCAAGCGUUGUUCGGAUUUACUGGGCGUAAAGGGCGCGUAGGCGGCUUGAAAAGUCACUUGUGAAAUCUCCGGGCUUAACUCGGAACGGUCAAGUGAAACUUGCAGACUAGAGUGCAGAAGGGGCAAUCGGAAUUCUUGGUGUAGCGGUGAAAUGCGUAGAUAUCAAGAGGAACACCUGAGGUGAAGACGGGUUGCUGGGCUGACACUGACGCUGAGGCGCGAAAGCUAGGGGAGCAAACGGG
rnacentral:rRNA from 1 species